AGUGAACGCUGGCGGCAGGCCUAACACAUGCCAGUCGAACGGCAGCAUCAUAAGAGCUUGCUCCUUCGGGUGGCGGGGGGCGGGCGGGGGGGGUAUAUAUCCGCAUCUCCUUUUUCGUGGGGGAACACGUAGGGGAAAUUACGCUUAUACCGCAUACCACCUUCGGGGGAAAGCAGGGGGUCUUCGGCCCUUGCUCGAUUGACUGAGCCGAUGUCGGAUUAGCUAGUUGGCGGGGUAAAGGCCCACCAAGGCGACGAUCCGUAGCUGGUCUGAGAGGAUGAUCAGCCACACUGGAACUGAGACACGGUCCAGACUCCUACGGGAGGCAGCAGUGGGGAAUAUUGGACAAUGGGCGCAAGCCUGAUCCAGCCAUACCGCGUGGGUGAAGAAGGCCUUCGGGUUGUAAAGCCCUUUUGUUGGGAAAGAAAAGCAGCAGGUUAAUACCCCGCUGUUCUGACGGUACCCAAAGAAUAAGCACCGGCUAACUUCGUG
rnacentral:rRNA from 1 species